GACGAACGCUGGCGGCGUGCUUAACACAUGCAAGUCGAACGGAAAGGCCCUGCUUUUGUGGGGUGCUCGAGUGGCGAACGGGUGAGUAACACGUGAGUAACCUGCCCUUGACUUUGGGAUAACUUCAGGAAACUGGGGCUAAUACCGGAUAGGAGCUCCUGCUGCAUGGUGGGGGUUGGAAAGUUUCGGCGGUUGGGGAUGGACUCGCGGCUUAUCAGCUAGUUGGUGGGGUAGUGGCUUACCAAGGCUUUGACGGGUAGCCGGCCUGAGAGGGUGACCGGCCACAUUGGGACUGAGAUACGGCCCAGACUCCUACGGGAGGCAGCAGUGGGGAAUAUUGCACAAUGGGCGGAAGCCUGAUGCAGCAACGCCGCGUGCGGGAUGACGGCCUUCGGGUUGUAAACCGCUUUCGCCUGUGACGAAGCGUGAGUGACGGUAAUGAGUAAAGAAGCACCGGCUAACUACGUG
rnacentral:rRNA from 1 species